CACUGGGGAGUAAGCUUAUGCUGGUCAGCUACAACGUGACCACCAGCUGCCCUUUUACUGCUGCCAGUUGGUAGUUUAAAUAUCACAAGCUGUUGCACAAAGAUAAACUCUGGAGCCCUGGUUCCAGUGGCCACUGAUUAGGAAUAUGCUACCAUUGCAUUCAUGGUGAUUUACUGCAGCUGCAGCUCUGAUUCAGAGUAAUUUGGAAGAUGGUAACAGACCCAGGAUUUUUCUGUUCUAAGGGAAUAAAAACCAAAUGAAAUUUCUAAUUUGGCAGCUGUAGUCCGUUGCCUUCAAAACCAGAGAAAAGGCAUGCAGAUUAGGGGAAACAUCCAGGGGCCAUGGACAGAAGAACCUUAUUUAUGCUUGGAUUUAUCUUUAUGCUUUCCAGCCACUGAACUCCCUGUCUUGUGAUAAAUUAUACAUUCCAGAAAUGCUGUUGUUCUACACUGUGAUUGUCCUCAAUUUGAUAUAUAAAGCAGUGAUACACCAUCUCAGUUUGAGGUGCACCAUCAGUCUGUGUGUGAAGUUCUCCCACACUGUUCAGAAAAAUGCUCUGGUUCUCCUC